ACGGAAGGCAGCAGUGGGGAAUAUUGCACAAUGGGGGAAACCCUGAUGCAGCGACGCCGCGUGAGUGAAGAAGUAUUUCGGUAUGUAAAGCUCUAUCAGCAGGGAAGAAAUAAGACACUUGUGUCUCAGACGGUACCUGACUAAGAAGCCCCGGCUAACUACGUGCCAGCAGCCGCGGUAAUACGUAGGGGGCAAGCGUUAUCCGGAUUUACUGGGUGUAAAGGGAGCGUAGACGGUCGAGCAAGUCUGAUGUGAAAGCUCGGGGCCCAACCCCGGAACUGCAUUGGAAACUGUUUGACUAGAGUGCAGGAGAGGUAAGUGGAAUUCCUAGUGUAGCGGUGAAAUGCGUAGAUAUUAGGAGGAACACCAGUGGCGAAGGCGGCUUACUGGACUGUAACUGACGUUGAGGCUCGAAAGCGUGGGGAGCAAACAGGAUUAGAUACCCUGGUA
rnacentral:rRNA from 1 species